CGGUGGCAAAUAUGAUAAUUCAAUUAGAUGUGUAAGGAGGCUUUACCCAUGAACUCAUUCAUUUGAAAAAUACAAUAUGUUUCUGACUUUCUUCUG